rnacentral:lncRNA from 1 species
AAGUCCGGCUGGCUUACAUCAUGUGCUAACGAGACGGAGAUUUUUGGACAUAAAUGAUGAGCUUUUUUGAACAAAACUACAUUCGUUAUGGACCUGUGAUACCUGGAAGUGACAUCUGAUGAAGAGAAUCAAAGGCAGGUCAGAUGCAUUGUGCCAUUAUCUUGGAGUGCCAACAGAAGAAGAUCAUCAAAGGUGAUGUUUUGAAGCAGCCUCUGGAAUAAGUUAAAUUUCCCUGGGGGGUACGAAC